rnacentral:rRNA from 1 species
UACGUAGGGUGCGAGCGUUAAUCGGAAUUACUGGGCGUAAAGCGUGCGCAGGCGGCGCCGCAAGUCAGGCGUGAAAUCCCCGAGCUUAACUUGGGAAUGGCGCUUGAAACUACGGUGCUGGAGUGUGGCAGAGGGAGGUGGAAUUCCACGUGUAGCGGUGAAAUGCGUAGAGAUGAGGAGGAACACCGAUGGCGAAGGCAGCCUCCUGGGCCAACACUGACGCUCAUGCACGAAAGCGUGGGGAGCAAACAGG